GGUUCGUUGGUGUAGUGGUUAUCACGUCUGCUUUACACGCAGAAGGUCCCGGGUUCGAACCCCGGACGAACCU
rnacentral:tRNA from 2 species